GACGAACGCUGGCGGCGUGCUUAACACAUGCAAGUCGAACGGUAAGGCUCCAGCUUGCUGGGGUACACGAGUGGCGAACGGGUGAGUAACACGUGGGUGACCUGCCCUGCACUUCGGGAUAAGCCUGGGAAACUGGGUCUAAUACCGGAUAGGACCAUGGUGUGGAUACUGUGGUGGAAAGUUUUUUCGGUGUGGGAUGGGCCCGCGGCCUAUCAGCUUGUUGGUGGGGUAAUGGCCUACCAAGGCGGCGACGGGUAGCCGGCCUGAGAGGGUGGACGGCCACAUUGGGACUGAGACACGGCCCAGACUCCUACGGGAGGCAGCAGUGGGGAAUAAUGCACAAUGGGCGGAAGCCUGAUGCAGCGACGCCGCGUGGGGGAUGACGGCCUUCGGGUUGUAAACUCCUUUCACCAUCGACGAAGGGUUUCUGACGGUAGAUGGAGAAGAAGCACCGGCUAACUACGUG
rnacentral:rRNA from 1 species